rnacentral:lncRNA from 1 species
AUGGCUCCCACUCACUGCACAGCGCCAGCGUGUGUCAUGUCCCAGCUGUGUCUCUGGGGCCCAAGGCCCUUCCUCACGUGGCAACUAUUGUGGCUACUAGUCCAGGAGGCUCAGCCUCUGGAGUGGGUCAAAGACCCGCUCCAGCUGACCUCUAACCCCCGGGGCCUACUGAGCCCUAGUCUUCCUGCUCCUCCCAUCUCCCAUGGGAAUCUCCCCAUGCGUCUACUCCCUCUGCUGACCUGGAGGGCUUUGAUUACGUGGCGUCGCGUCGUCUGCUUCCUCCCAGAUGUCAGCCCCGCCCCAGGAAUCGACUGAAAAUUUGGUUCUGUUCCUGGACACGGAUUCAGCUGGAGAGCUGCCCCCCGGGGUCCAGAGCAGUUCUCGGCUGCACACCAGGAUCUAAAUGACAAGCUGACUCCGAAGAAAAGGCCAACAUUACAAUUUAAACCUGCAGAUGUGGAUGUUACCAUAACUUCAGAGCCUACCAAUGAGACAUCCUCUGAAGUCCACUGAAGAGGUCAGUCCUCCACCACAGGGGAGAUACCAGCUCAGCCAUCAGAGCCACCUGAGAAGGUCAAACCAUCUCCAGUCCUACAGCAGGCCCCAACUCAGCUUUUAGAGCCACCUAAAGAGGUAGAAUCCUCUCCAGUCCAGCAGGCAGUCCCUGCUCAGUCUUCAGAGCCCCCUAGGGUGAUAGAACCCUCUCUGACCCAGCAGAUGGCCCCAUCUUUGCCUCCAGAGUUCCCUCAGUAGGUGGAACCAUCUCUAACUCAGCAAGAGGUUCCAGCUCAGAUUCCAGAGCCCUCUAUGGAGGCAGAACCUUCUCCGACCCAGCAGGAGGCCACAGUUCAGGCUCCAGAGCCCCCUAAGGAGGUAGAAUCUUCAAGCCAGCAGAUGGUCCCAGCUCAGCUUCCAGAGCCACCUAAGGAGGUUGCAGCUCAACCUCCAGCUCAUUAUGAGGUGACAGUUCCAACACCAGGUCAGGAUCAAGCUCAGCAUUGGACAUUGCCCAGUGUCACAGUUCAACCUUUGGACCUGGGACUUACCAUUACUCCAGAACCCACUAAGGAGGUUGAACAUUCUACAGCCCUGAAGAAGGCUAUAGUUCCUCCAAAGCACCCUAAGGUGACACUUCCACAUCCAGACCAGGUUCAGAUUCAGCAUUUACACCUGACUCAAGCCACAGUUCAACCUGUGGACCUGGGGCUUACCAUCACUCCAGAAUCCACUACGGAGGUUGAACUUUCUCCAACCACGCAGGAGACCCCAACUCAGCCUCCUAAGAAAGUUGUACCCCAACUUCCAGUAUAUCAAGAGGUAACAAUUCCAACACCAGGUCAGGAUCAAGCUCAGCAUGGGGCUUCCAUCACUCCAGAACCCACUACAGAGACUGGACAUCUACCGCCCUGGAGAAGAAAGUUACCAAGGAAACUAUAUUUCCUACAUUGAUGGAAAUGUAUGGAAAGCAUACAGUUGGACCAAGAAACUGUUAUCAAGGCAAUAUUUUCCUUUUCCUAGAGAUUUAUCCUGCAAUAAAAUACAGUCUAUUGAAAGACAUACAUUUGAACCCCUACCAUUUUUGCAGUUUAUGUAAGUUACAAAUAUAACUUUAUUGCAUUUGGAAUUUAAAUCUUGGUUGCAAUUUACUAACAGAACUGAGCUUUGGAACAUCUCAGGCCUGGCACAGAAUGCAGUUUUUACACAAGUUAAUUCUCAAUCACAAUCCUCUGACAGCUGUUGAAGAUCCGUAGCUCUUGGAACUGCCGGCAUUAAUAUAUCUCAUAUCAUGAAUGUUUCGGCUUUCUUCUUCAGAUACAUGGGAACAACACAAGUCCCACUUACAACAAUUAAGAACAUUCUCAGGAUGACUGUUGAAUUGGAAAAACUCCUCCAUCCUGAACCCACGGUGGCCCAGCCCACUGCCUACCCUCGAGUUCCGAUCUUACCUAGCCAUAUGGCCUGCUGCCUCUGCCAAUUUAAAAAUAGCAUUGAGGCUGUCUGCAAGACAGUCAAGCUGCAUUGCAACAGUGCAUGUCUGACAAACACCACACAUUGUCGUGAGUCCAAAUUGCCUGGUGAUAAAUUGUUACAUUAUUUUAAGUAUUUGUGCCGUUCCAUUAUCUUUCAUGAUCAAAGCAGUCUCUUUUUUUUGACAGGUGAAGAAGCAUCUGUAGGGAAUCCAGAAAGAGUGUUCAUGAAGGUGUUACAAGCCCAGAAGAAGCACAUGAGCAUUGAGCUGACUACUGAGCCGGAGGCAGCCUCAGACAGCAGUGGCAUCAACUUGUCAGUCUUUGGGAGUGAGCAGCUAGACACUUAUGAUAAGAGUGAUGUUAUCACUGCGCUAAAUUACAUCUUGCCUUAUUUCUCAGCAGGAAAUCUAGAUGCGGAAUCAAUGUUGUUACCAUUCAUUAAACUGAACAGCCUGGCAAAGGUUCAAAGUGUAGGCAAAAACCUGCAGAGAGUGAACAGAGUCCUCAUGGGCCCAAGGAGCAUCCAGAAAAGGCCCUUCAAAGCGGUGGGAAAGCAGAGUAUCAGGAGGGAACAGGGUGCCCAGGCAUUUGGGGAGAAUGCUGCCAAAGAAAAAAGGCUCGGGAGUCCAGCCCCAAGGGAGCUGGAAUAGCCUCACAUAGUGCAGGGGCCCGAGAACGUAGCGGGAAACGCCGUCUACACCAAGCCUUCAUUCACCCAAGAGCAGAAGCCAACAGUCUCCUCUUUGCUGAAACCCUUCUCCAUGGGCAUGCCUUCUGCCUUCCACAACUGCAAAAGCAGGCUAGAGUUAAAAAAUAUGAAGGCUGCUAAACGAGUAGUACAUUCCAGAAAAAAAUACCACUUUCAUAAAACUCACUCCCGUGUGGCCCACAGAACACCCAAGGCCAAAAAGAUUAGAAAAUUGAGAAAGAAAAGUUAUCUCAAUAGACUGAUGCUCGCAAAGAGGCCGCCGUUCUCUGCAGUGAAGAGCCUCAUAAAUUCCCCUUCACAAGGGGCUUUUUCAUCCUCAGGAGACCUGAGUCCUCAAGAAAACCCUUUUCCAGAAGUAUUUGCUCCUUCAGAAUGUUUUAUAGAAAACACUACUGUAAAAAACACAACUGCAAGAAAUGCCUCUGAAGAAAACGUUUUUAUGGAAAACACUACUAUGCCAGAAGGCACCAUCUCUGAAAACACAAACUACAAUCAUCUUCCUGAGGCAGAUUCCCACUAGGACUGCAUUCAACUUAGAGCCAACUGUUAAACAAACUGAGACAAAAUGGGAAUACAACAACGUGGGCACUGACCUGUCCCCCGAGCCCAAAAGCUUCAGUUACCCAUUGCUCUCAUCCCCAGGUGAUCAGUUUGAAAUUCCGCUAACCCAUCAACUACAGUCCGUCAUCCCCAACAACGAUGUGAGAAGCUUCAUUUCUCAUGUUAUCUGGACCUUGAAGACGGACUGCUCCGAGACCUAUGUGCAAGUGACCUGUGCCAAGCUCAUCUCCAGGACAGGCCUCCUGAUGAGGCUUCUCAGUGAGCAGCAGGAAGUAAAGGCGUCCAAGGCAGAAUGGGAUACAGACCAGUGGAAAACUAAGAACUAUAUUAAUGAAAGCACAGAAGCCCAGAGUGAACAGAAAGAGCAGAAGUCGAGUGAGACGAAAGAAGUUCCAGGAUAUGGCUAUAACAACAAACUAAUCUUGGUGAUAUCUGUGACUGUAAUACUAACGAUUUUGAUUCUAAUUUUUUGUCUUAUUGAGGUA